rnacentral:rRNA from 1 species
UACGUAGGGACCAAGCGUUGUUCGGAUUUACUGGGCGUAAAGGGCGCGUAGGCGGCAAUUCAAGUCAGCUGUGAAAUCUCCGGGCUUAACUCGGAACGGUCAGCUGAUACUGCUUUGCUAGAGUGCAGAAGGGGCAAUCGGAAUUCUUGGUGUAGCGGUGAAAUGCGUAGAUAUCGAGAGGAACACCUGCGGCGAAGGCGGGUUGCUGGGCUGAUACUGACGCUGAGGCGCGAAAGCCAGGGGAGCGAACGGGG